CCUUCCCCAGUCCUCCUCCCCCGUCCUCCCCCACAGAGAGGCGGAAAAAAAGGGAAAGUGGUCUGCAGACAAAGGCUGGCAGGGAAAACGCGGCUGCUCGUCAGAAGAUUUCGGCGGAGAAUGGAGAAGUUCAGACGCAGCAACUGUCACCAGAACGUCCCGACAGAACCAGCUCGUCCAGAAAAUCAGGACAAGUUUCUCAGAGCGAAUGUUCCACAGGGAUAAAAUCAGACAAAUUCAAGUUUCACAGAUGCUCUCCCACCUUAGUUACAUCAGCAUCAGGAUCGCUGCUGUCCACAUCUGCAGACUCACACAAACAUUUCACAUUAAAGGUGAUUUUUCUUUUUCAUUAAAUUCAUUUUUUCACAAUUUUUUCAAAGUAUAAAAACUUUAAAAACAUGUUGUUGUUGUUUUUUCUCUCUUUACAGAUUCAGAUAAUCGUGUCACCUGAUCCGUGAUCCUGGACGUCUUGGAUGGAAAAGUUAAAGACAAGAAAUUAACGUUACAAAAUUAGACAUGAAAAAAAAACAACUUUAGUCUAUACGUCAAUAUAUUUACAUUCAAAAUGCAGUAAAAUCGAUCAAUACAGCUUCAUCUAUUUCUUUAUUUAACCUUUAAAGUACCAGGAAUAUUCACACCGGGAUAUUAAAUCUCUUCUGUGAGAGAAUCCAGGCCGAAAAGUUUUACACAAACAACAAGCAGCAAAAAAUAACUACGGUGGCCCUAAAGGUCAAACCUUACAUAGCUGCAAAAAUUUGUACAAGUGUCAAAAACAAUUCAUAAAACGGAAAAAAAAACAAUUAGCGAUAAUCAAGAAUAUAUCAUGAAAUACAAA